rnacentral:lncRNA from 1 species
AUGGAAGUUGGUUUUCGGAGUACUAUUCCUGAGAGCCAGGCAUCUGAAAGCAACCUGGGUCAUAAAAGCUCCCGAGUUUUGCUUGACAUAUACACCACUCCUAUUAGAAUAUUUCUUGGUUCUGGUCUUGACUCUGAGCGCUCCAGUAAGCUAACAUGUGCAUCCAUGCUCAAGAGAUACCAGGAUGGAUGGCCAGCAAUGCUGACAAAGCCAGGAGUCUAUAACAGAGGCCAUCACGCGCAGGUGAUAAUCACCCCUGUUAAGGGUGAUUCUUGUCAGGCAGUAAGCAGCUCUAUAAUGAUGGUGUGGUGGUAUAAUAAAAGAUUGUUUGAACUAAAAUUUCUCAGAAUGACACAGACCUGGAUGGCAUACAGCCUCUGUUCAUUGGGCCAAGGAUAA